rnacentral:rRNA from 1 species
AAAUUGAAGAGUUUGAUCAUGGCUCAGAUUGAACGCUGGCGGCAGGCCUAACACAUGCAAGUCGAACGGUAACAGGAAGAAGCUUGCUUCUUUGCUGACGAGUGGCGGACGGGUGAGUAAUGUCUGGGAAACUGCCCGAUGGAGGGGGAUAACUACUGGAAACGGUAGCUAAUACCGCAUAACGUCGCAAGACCAAAGAGGGGGACCUUCGGGCCUCUUGCCAUC